UUAGAUUAAAUGUUCUGCCUAGCAGACGCCGCGUCUGCCGAUCGUGCGAGCGCUCCGCGGCCGCCGAUCCCGCGGCCCAGCGGCAACUCCCUGAUUUUCGUUUUUUUAGGAAUCCCUGAUUUUCGGUUUGGUCCACGCGAAAGUGGCUCCCGAGUCCUGGCACUGGCUUUAGGCCCCAACAAGAACGGCGAAAGAAGGGAUCCGCAGCAACAACGUUGCGCCGCCGCUCCGCCCGUGCGCUCCCCACCCCCGAUCCGCCCCGAGCCCACCAGGCCUCCGAACGCCGCCGUCGAGCUCCUCUGCCGGACACCAUGGCCAUGGACUAAAGCUCCGCCGGACCUUCCCUCGCGAGUGCCGGCCCUCCUCCCGACUAAAUCGGCGACGGCGACGAACGGUGAUGAACACAUGCCUACCCCCUUCUUAAUUCUCCCGGGCAGUCUGUGAUGCAGAUGCCGCCGCUGCCAUUCUUCCGCACAGCCGAGGACGCGAAAGUCGUUGUUGUCUGCAACUCAGCUGCCUCCAUCCUGUUGCCCUGCGAAGUUGAGGAGGGUUUGUUGUCCGGACAUCGCAUCCUCCUGCUUGUCCUCUACCACAGGGUCGUUGCCAUCUUCAGUCACCACGGCCACCUCUGCCAUGUCCUCUACCACGGGUUCAAUAGGGGCAUACCACCGCAUGUCCUCUUCACAUGAUAGGGAGAGCAGGGGAAAAGUCUUGUGGAUACAUAUAUGAAUGCCCGCCAGAAGAAGAGAAGGGUGUUUGGCUGCAAAUCAGUUUUAUGUCAAACUGCACAUAAAUAUGAUCAAGUACUUGUUGUCUUUUUACUGGCAGGGAGAGCAGGAGAAGGUGUUGUGGAUACAUAUAUGAAUGCCCGCCAGAAGAAGAGAAAGAUGUUUGGCUGCAAGUAAUUGUGUUCGUAGGCUGUCCAUAUCACCGGCACUAAGGGGAAAUGUUCGACUGCCACGUUCCUGUCUAAUAUCAUGAGGGAGCAAGCAUAAACUGUGGGCUGCUAUUCCAGGUAUUCCACCAUAUCACCAAGCUCCGUGUAUCAUUUAAUCCAUUUGGUAGUAACUAUUAGACGACAUGAUCAUGGAAAUGGAAAUUGUAUGGUGCUGAUGUUUAUGCAGUCCACACCUUUUAACAAUCCGAGAGCGCAUCACCUGUUUCAGCUGCAUCUUUGAGGGAUCUUUUUGAUCUGGCAAAAGGAAGCUAUUGAUGAAUCAAUCGAAUAUUUUCAAAGAUAUUUUUAGGUUGCAAGGUUGGUAUUUUGCUUUAAUAAAAUGCUGAUGAUGCGUACUCAGAUAUUUUUUUGUAUGUCCCCGAAUGGGAGCCUAUACAAUACCAAUAAACGAUAAGCAUAACAAGAAAAAUAGCAAAGGUACUAUCGAAUGGGAGCCUAAUUUCUUGUUUCAGUAUUGUCUGCAGCUUUGUUUCAGGAAGAUACAAUUCUGUAAUUUUUUUAUGUCGCAUUUGAAGGUGUCGGCAAGUAAGCGGCUCUACAUCUUGCCAAUUCCAUUUCUAAUAGGCAUGAACCCCCUGUGUUUUGGACAACUAAGGUUACAUGCAUGUGUUCAUAUCAUAAUCAUGUACCAAUUCUGAGUCAGACGCGUGCAUUUGGAUUGGAUAUUGAACCGAGCCCGCCAUUUUAUUACUCUGAAAGAACUAUACAGUGAUAUUUGGCUAUUGCUUUCAGUAUUAGAGAAGCAUAGAAACUGAACUGCAGGGCUUUCUAUAUUUUUAUGUGAAAUUCCUCUAUGACAUUGUGCCAUACUAUUUACUUUGAGCAACCUUUCUAUGCUAUUUUCUUGGACAGUUUAUACUGUAAUCUCUAGCACCUCAAUAUAUGGUAAACAAGUGCAAGCUUGGGUAUUUUUUUCCUCAUCUCGUAUUCAUUUUAUUUGCUAUGUUACUUUAGCAAUCAAAUAGAAUCAGGCACAAGCUCCAGUUAGUCCUGUGUAAAAACUGAUGUGCAGGUGUGGACCAUGGAUUCCUUAUUUUGUGCGUUUCAGACUUGGGAUCGUAGGGAGAAGUGUGAACUAUGGAGUCAUACCAGAACUCGAUUGACCAUGGCACAUCUUCAUAAACGAGUCAUGGCAUCGGCAACAAUAUUCAAGAUUUCAUGUUCCCUUCAUUUCCAAGCAUCACUCUUAAAGCAAUAUAUGCAGGUUCAUCAUUCAUGCGAGGGAUAUGAAUGACGAAACAAAAGUAAAAGGUGUUUAUGCCAACAGAUCAUCAUAAUUUGGGAGGAGUGUCAUGUCGGCUUUAUAAAGCCAGUAGCAUCCUACUAUUCGCAGUUUCUGUACUUCAAUGAAAUAAUACAAUUUUCAAAUUAUAUAUUUUAUGGCCA